rnacentral:rRNA from 1 species
AUUGAACGCUGGCGGCAGGCCUAACACAUGCAAGUCGAACGAGUGGCGGACGGGUGAGUAAUGUCUGGGAACGUGCCUGAUGGAGGGGGAUAACUACUGGAAACGGUAGCUAAUACCGCAUACCAUCGGAUGUGCCCAGAUGGGAUUAGCUAGUUGGUGGGGUAAAGGCUCACCUAGGCGACGAUCCCUAGCUGGUCUGAGAGGAUGACCAGCCACACUGGAACUGAGACACGGUCCAGACUCCUACGGGAGGCAGCAGUGGGGAAUAUUGGACAAUGGGGGAAAGCCUGAUGCAGCCAUGCCGCGUGUAUGAAGAAGGCCUUCGGGUUGUAAAGUACUUUCAGCGGGGAGGCGGUACCCGCAGAAGAAGCACCGGCUAACUCCGUGCCAGCAGCCGCGGUAAUUC